rnacentral:tRNA from 1 species
GGGCCCAUAGCUCAGCGGUAGAGCUCCCGGCUCAUAACCGGUCGGUCCCAGGUUCGAAUCCUGGUGGGCCCACCA